CGCACUCAACCACAUCAGAGGCCAUUAGGAUUCGCGUGCUGCUACGAGCGUGAGGAGAAGAUUGCUGAGGAUAACUUGCUUCGCCAAUGAACUCGAACCAUCACGCAUCCACUAACCUUAGUGACUACACAACGGAUGCCAUCGAGAGAAUCAAUCGAGUAUCGAAGAUGGAUUCGGUGGCCGUUCUCUUCUUCCUCCUCCUCCUCUUGUCAGCAACUGCACCCUCAGAAUCAUUUGCAGGUCAUCAGAAAUUGAUGCAUCAUGCUUCGGUACCACACAAAGCUAUGAAAAAGAGUUCAUCCAAGGAUAAUGUUAAGACCAAUGACUACGGAUCGUAUGAUCCUUCCCCAGCUCUCAACAAGCCUCCUUACAAGCUCAUCAAUAAUUGACGCAACAUCCACUGCUACAAUGUUGCUCAUGGUUCUGUCGAUUAACCCUAUAGAUAUUUCUGCUGCUCAAUGUAUUAUCUAACAAGUACGUACGAGUUGUGAUAUAUGGAUACAUAUGUAUGUCAACUAUGCUUGAUGAUAAUAACACAGUGAGAAGCUGUGGACUGUUUUGUAGUGACCACAGCCUUCAAAAGAGUGUUUUUCAUCAAAGUCGAUCCCAACCUAUUGAUAUGCUGUGAUGUACUCGCAAGUGUUCUUGAUUUAUUCGUUGCUCAAGUUAGUAAUGUGUCUGAACUAAAAUAGUUUUAGGAUUCGAAAAGAUUAUGAGAAAUAAGAUGAAUAACUAUUUAUAGUAAUGAGUUUCUAAUCGUUUAUGAUUUAAAAUAUAAUUAUUUAGAAAAAAGAAUCGUUAAGUUAGUCAAAAUAAUCAUUGAGGCGACUGAUGAUAUGAUAAUAUCCUCGUUAUAUUCGAUGUGGUAUAAUAAUUAUUGAUGUGAUUGGCAUAACGAUUAUUAACUCUUGGAAUGAUAAUUUUUAUUGUUAUAUAAAUUAUUAUUUUUAAUGAUAGUUAUAUAAAUCCACAAUAAAUUUUUUUAUUAUUGUAAGAUAAAGAUAUAUUCAGACCAAAAUCAAAAAGUGACUACUACCAAUUUGGCAAGACCUUAAUGUCCUUCCAUCCUCUAGUUGAUAUAUGGUUCCCAUCUCCCAUGCCAACCUGUUUACUGGAAGUCAACGUCAAAGUCAAAGUCAACGACCUCCAGUUUCUUCAAUUGCGGCCGUCUCACCAGCUUCCAAGAGACAGUGAGCUGGCGGUCUUCACAAGAACCAUCCAAUUCAAUCAUCCAUUCCAAUGAUCUCCUUCGACUGAUAUCAAGUAUAGAGAUCGAUCGCUCGAUCUAUCUUUCUUUCUGCCUCUUGUUGCUAUGGCUCAAUCCACGAAACAGAUCGUCGUCGUCAUUCUUCUCACCAUCCUCCUGCUCGGAUGCCAUCCUACCAUCUCCUUCUCCUGUACUCCCAGGAAGGCAUUAGCCAGAGCUGGACGAUGCGGGGAGUCGGACGAUCCCAUCCCAAGCCCCACUACCAUGACAGCGUCUCAAGCCUCGAGGAGGCCUUACGUGCCACCGUCGCCUGCCGGAAAUCGAGUGGUAAUUUACGAAGCACCCCCUCAAGCGCCGCCCCCGCUCGUAGCGUAGACGAGCAGCGAAUGCCGAGUCUCUUAUUUAUGUUCAUCUGUUAGUAUCUCCUAUACCAAAGCCAAUAAUAGCUUUACAUAAAGCAACGUUUGGAUGCAUAUGAUUACUCCGACCACAAACAUCUAAUUAGACUUCGAUCCAAGAGAUGGGAGAAAGGUAGGAGACGACAUGGAGGAGAGCUGAAACAGAAAGGAAACCAGAAGGAACUCUGCUGGGUUUGAUCAUAAAACUUGAUUCCUGGUCAAUAAAUUGUGCUUACAAUUA